GUUGGCUGAUGACUCAACAACCUGACUACUCCCCCACCUCCCCCUCAGCCUACACAACUUUGGCAACAUCUCCAUUCAAAUGUGCUGAGAUUGUUUCCUUGGCAGCUGGAUACAUCUGGCUCAAAUUGAGCUUGUGGCCAGUUAGAAGCCCUAGAUCUACUUCCCAGGAACUGCUGUCUGGCCAAGUCUCCCCAUUCCCAGACUUCAAUAAUUGAUGCCAGAAUCCACAUCAAUCCCUGAAAUUUUACCUGUAGACCUGAAUUUUGUCAUCGGAAGCCAAAAAGAUAUCCCAAAUUGAAUAAAGAUACACCAAAGGACACUUCCUAAGCUGCCACAGCUCCAUUAAUCCACAUCAAAUAUACUGAAAAAAUGCUGCAAAUAUUUCAGGAUCUUUUACUCCUGGAACAGGAAGGGUGGCUGCCUAAAUUCCUCAAAUAUUUUUGAUGUUUAAUUUUUAUACAACAGAAAAGAUCC